rnacentral:piRNA from 1 species
ACAUACGUGGAGGCAGAAUGUUG